rnacentral:tRNA from 1 species
AGUCCCGUAGUCUAGUGGUCAAGGAUGUGAGACUCUGACUCUCACGACCCAGGUUCGAAUCCUGGCGGGGCUA